GAUGAACGCUGGCGGCGUGCCUAAUACAUGCAAGUCGAGCGAACUUUUGGGAGCUUGCUCCCAAAAGUUAGCGGCGGACGGGUGAGUAACACGUGGGCAACCUGCCUAUAAGACUGGGAUAACUUCGGGAAACCGGAGCUAAUACCGGAUAACAUAUGAUACCACAUGGUCUCAUAUUAAAAGAUGGCUUUUAGCUAUCACCUAUAGAUUGGCCCGCGGCGCAUUAGCUAGUUGGUGAGGUAAUGGCUCACCAAGGCGACGAUGCGUAGCCGACCUGAGAGGGUGAUCGGCCACACUGGGACUGAGACACGGCAGACUCCUACGGGAGGCAGCAGUAGGGAAUCUUCCGCAAUGGACGAAAGUCUGACGGAGCAACGCCGCGUGAGCGAAGAAGGUCUUCGGAUCGUAAGGCUCUGUUGUUAGGGAAGAACAAGUACCGUUCAAAUAGGGCGGUACCUUGACGGUACCUAACCAGAAAGCCACGGCUAACUACGUGCCAGCCGCCGCCGUAA
rnacentral:rRNA from 1 species